GGUUAAGCGACUAAGCGUACACGGUGGAUGCCCUGGCAGUCAGAGGCGAUGAAGGGCGUGCUAAUCUGCGAUAAGCGCCGGUAAGGUGAUAUGAACCGUUAUAACCGGCGAUACCCGAAUGGGGAAACCCAGUGUGAUUCGUCACACUAUCAUUAACUGAAUCCAUAGGUUAAUGAGGCGAACCGGGGGAACUGAAACAUCUAAGUACCCCGAGGAAAAGAAAUCAACCGAGAUUCCCCCAGUAGCGGCGAGCGAACGGGGAGGAGCCCAGAGCCUGAAUCAGCAUGUGUGUUAGUGGAAGCGUCUGGAAAGUCGCGCGAUACAGGGUGACAGCCCCGUACACAAAAGCGCAUGUGUUGUGAGCUCGAUGAGUAGGGCGGGACACGUGGUAUCCUGUCUGAAUAUGGGGGGACCAUCCUCCAAGGCUAAAUACUCCUGACUGACCGAUAGUGAACCAGUACCGUGAGGGAAAGGCGAAAAGAACCCCGGCGAGGGGAGUGAAAAAGAACCUGAAACCGUGUACGUACAAGCAGUGGGAGCACAGGUUUACCUGUGUGACUGCGUACCUUUUGUAUAAUGGGUCAGCGACUUAUAUUCUGUAGCAAGGUUAACCGUAUAGGGGAGCCGGAGGGAAACCGAGUCUUAAUUGGGCGUUAAGUUGCAGGGUAUAGACCCGAAACCCGGUGAUCUAGCCAUGGGCAGGUUGAAGGUUGGGUAACACUAACUGGAGGACCGAACCGACUAAUGUUGAAAAAUUAGCGGAUGACCUGUGGCUGGGGGUGAAAGGCCAAUCAAACCGGGAGAUAGCUGGUUCUCCCCGAAAGCUAUUUAGGUAGCGCCUCGUGAAUUCAUCUCCGGGGGUAGAGCACUGUUUCGGCUAGGGGGCCAUCCCGGCUUACCAACCCGAUGCAAACUGCGAAUACCGGAGAAUGUUAUCACGGGAGACACACGGCGGGUGCUAACGUCCGUCGUGAAGAGGGAAACAACCCAGACCGCCAGCUAAGGUCCCAAAGUCAUGGUUAAGUGGGAAACGAUGUGGGAAGGCCCAGACAGCCAGGAUGUUGGCUUAGAAGCAGCCAUCAUUUAAAGAAAGCGUAAUAGCUCACUGGUCGAGUCGGCCUGCGCGGAAGAUGUAACGGGGCUAAACCAUGCACCGAAGCUGCGGCAGCGAACGUAUCACCCAAGACAACUUUACGGAGUUGACGAUUGACGGAGCGAAGCGACGUCAAAGCGUUCAUUAAAGUCGAGUUGGCUUAGGGAUACGUUCGUUGGGUAGGGGAGCGUUCUGUAAGCCGUUGAAGGUGGCCUGUGAGGGUUGCUGGAGGUAUCAGAAGUGCGAAUGCUGACAUAAGUAACGAUAAAGCGGGUGAAAAGCCCGCUCGCCGGAAGACCAAGGGUUCCUGUCCAACGUUAAUCGGGGCAGGGUGAGUCGACCCCUAAGGCGAGGCCGAAAGGCGUAGUCGAUGGGAAACGGGUUAAUAUUCCCGUACUUGGUGUUACUGCGAAGGGGGGACGGAGAAGGCUAUGUUGGCCGGGCGACGGUUGUCCCGGUUUAAGCGUGUAGGUGUGUGUUCCAGGUAAAUCCGGUUCACUUUAACACUGAGGCGUGACGACGAGGCACUACGGUGCUGAAGCAACAAAUGCCCUGCUUCCAGGAAAAGCCUCUAAGCAUCAGGUAACAUCAAAUCGUACCCCAAACCGACACAGGUGGUCAGGUAGAGAAUACCAAGGCGCUUGAGAGAACUCGGGUGAAGGAACUAGGCAAAAUGGUGCCGUAACUUCGGGAGAAGGCACGCUGACACGUAGGUGAAGUGAUUUACUCAUGGAGCUGAAGUCAGUCGAAGAUACCAGCUGGCUGCAACUGUUUAUUAAAAACACAGCACUGUGCAAACACGAAAGUGGACGUAUACGGUGUGACGCCUGCCCGGUGCCGGAAGGUUAAUUGAUGGGGUCAGCGCAAGCGAAGCUCCUGAUCGAAGCCCCGGUAAACGGCGGCCGUAACUAUAACGGUCCUAAGGUAGCGAAAUUCCUUGUCGGGUAAGUUCCGACCUGCACGAAUGGCGUAAUGAUGGCCAGGCUGUCUCCACCCGAGACUCAGUGAAAUUGAACUCGCUGUGAAGAUGCAGUGUACCCGCGGCAAGACGGAAAGACCCCGUGAACCUUUACUAUAGCUUGACACUGAACAUUGAGCCUUGAUGUGUAGGAUAGGUGGGAGGCUUUGAAGCGUGGACGCCAGUCUGCGUGGAGCCGACCUUGAAAUACCACCCUUUAAUGUUUGAUGUUCUAACGUGGACCCGUAAUCCGGGUUGCGGACAGUGUCUGGUGGGUAGUUUGACUGGGGCGGUCUCCUCCUAAAGAGUAACGGAGGAGCACGAAGGUUGGCUAAUCCUGGUCGGACAUCAGGAGGUUAGUGCAAUGGCAUAAGCCAGCUUGACUGCGAGCGUGACGGCGCGAGCAGGUGCGAAAGCAGGUCAUAGUGAUCCGGUGGUUCUGAAUGGAAGGGCCAUCGCUCAACGGAUAAAAGGUACUCCGGGGAUAACAGGCUGAUACCGCCCAAGAGUUCAUAUCGACGGCGGUGUUUGGCACCUCGAUGUCGGCUCAUCACAUCCUGGGGCUGAAGUAGGUCCCAAGGGUAUGGCUGUUCGCCAUUUAAAGUGGUACGCGAGCUGGGUUUAGAACGUCGUGAGACAGUUCGGUCCCUAUCUGCCGUGGGCGCUGGAGAACUGAGGGGGGCUGCUCCUAGUACGAGAGGACCGGAGUGGACGCAUCACUGGUGUUCGGGUUGUCAUGCCAAUGGCACUGCCCGGUAGCUAAAUGCGGAAGAGAUAAGUGCUGAAAGCAUCUAAGCACGAAACUUGCCCCGAGAUGAGUUCUCCCUGAGACUUUAGGUCUCCUGAAGGAACGUUGAAGACGACGACGUUGAUAGGCCGGGUGUGUAAGCGCAGCGAUGCGUUGAGCUAACCGGUACUAAUGAACCGUGAGGCUUAACCUU
rnacentral:rRNA from 1 species